rnacentral:tRNA from 1 species
GGAAGAGUAUCGAAGUGGUUAUAACGAGCCGCCCUCGAAAUGCGGUUGUCUUAACGGACACGUGAGUUCGAAUCUCAUCUCUUCCGCCA